rnacentral:RNase_P_RNA from 1 species
UGAGUAGACCAGACGGUCGCGGGCGGCUCGAAGCCGUCCGAGGAAAGUCCGAGCUCCUCGGGGUAGGGUGCUGGGUAACACCCAGUGGAAGCGAUUCCAAGGAAAGUGCCGCAGAAAGCAUACCGCCAAAGCCGCGAAUGAGCGGACGGCAAGGGUGAAACGGUGAGGUAAGAGCUCACCAGUGCCGCUGGUGACAGCGGCAGCUUGGCAAACCCCACCCGGAGCAAGACCAAAUAGGAGGGGAGAAGCUACCCCGCUUCGCUCGACCCUCGGGUUGGUCGCUCGAGGUGUCCGGUAACGGGCAUCCUAGAUAAAUGACCGUCACCUGCUCUGCAGGAACAGAACUCGGCUUACGGUCUGCUCAGCCC